GUUCAGGAGCUAGUGUGCUUAGUGCACACCUAUAAGCCCAAGCUCGUCUUCCUCUCGGAAACUCGGCAAAAUAAUAAGUAUGUUAGGAACCUGAAAUGGAGGCUAGGCCUUCGCCAUUGUAUCAUGCAACCCGGUACUGGAAAAGGUGCCGGCAUUGCUCUAUUCUAUGAUGAGAGUGUUGAA
rnacentral:rRNA from 1 species